GGAGACCUUCUUCAUUGAAUUUGACUGCAUGAAUUAUUUGAUGUUUUGACUCUUCAGUUAAAUGUUUAUCCCACCAAGAUCGCAGGGUUCCAGUGAAUCAUGUUUCUAAUAGAGGAACAAUUUCUGAUUGUCUAAGAUUGUGAUUGGUUAUGUAGCUAUUGGCUAUCAUAGACAUAUGAGUUAACUUGUUUAAGAUUUCUUGCUCAGACAAACCAUCUAUAUUCCAUUU
rnacentral:lncRNA from 1 species